rnacentral:tRNA from 2 species
GGCUAGAUGGCCGAGCGGUUAUGGCGUGUGACUCAAGAUAACAUCUUCACCACUCAAUGUGGCUUCUCAUGGGGAAACCCGCGGGGGUUCGAAUCCCCCUCUAGUCA